AGCAGUCGCCACGGUAAUACGAAGGGUGCAAGCGUUACUCGGAAUUACUGGGCGUAAAGCGUGCGUAGGUGGUGGUUUAAGUCCGUUGUGAAAGCCCUGGGCUCAACCUGGGAAUUGCAGUGGAUACUGGGUCACUAGAGUGUGGUAGAGGAUAGUGGAAUUUCCGGUGUAGCAGUGAAAUGCGUAGAGAUCGGAAGGAACAUCUGUGGCGAAGGCGACUAUCUGGGCCAACACUGACACUGAGGCACGAAAGCGUGGGGAGCAAACAGGAUUAGAUACCCCAGUAGUCCCUGUCUCUUAUAC
rnacentral:rRNA from 1 species